rnacentral:lncRNA from 8 species
GUCCUAAGUGACAACAUAUAAAGUGUUCCACUUUUUUGCGGUGUGAUUUGAUGUAUAUUUGAGCAACUCUCAAGUGUAAAACUUCGGUCAGGACAUAAACCUCACAGUCCAAUAUACUGACAAUCUUUGCAUUUAAUUUUGCUCCCCCUGCUGGACAUUAUUGGAAUACUACUCAUGCCACUGAAAAAUAAAAUUCUAUUCAUCAUUUUACCAUGCCAAUUUAGGGGCAGUGUCAUAUCAUGGGCUAUUUUUUAAUUUGUCCAUGCACCCACUUAAUAUUUUUAAGAGUAACACUGACACAUUCAUCUGGAAAAUGCAAUUGGAUAACUUUUCUUUCAUUGUAGGUCAAAUUAAUGAGGGAAGGAGUGGCGCGCGUUUACCGGCCUGAUAAUCAAAAUAUAAUCUAAAUUACAGAACACGCUUUGUGACGCGGUGAAUGUAAAGAACGUUGUUUACGUUCAUUCCAAAAUGCUAACAGAUGACUAUCAACACGCUUGCCAAACGGUAGGAUUUUCCUAAAGUUUAUUUUUGUCGCAAAUGUAUGUUUGCAGGCCUAUUUAAUUUUCACCUCAUGUAAUGUAAUUGACGUGUGAAGAGCGUGGCCAAAGGUAAUCUUUUGGCCAGGUGCAUCAAAAAUAUUUAAUGCUGAUUGAGGAUGCAAAAAAUGACCAUAUGGCUACCUUUUAUUACUACACAAUUAUUUGAGCACAAAUAAUAAUUCACAAAUAUAGAAUCAUGUUACAAGACUCGUAUUUAAUGACUCGUGGUACUCUUGUAAACAGUUAAUGUAGGCCCAACCUUUAUUUGAAAUAGGAGUUUAUUAUCUGAAAUGUGUGCUGUUGGCCGGCUUUUAAAAAGGACCGGCAGCUAUUUGAAAUUGCGUUUAUUGAAGUAAUACAGCAUAUAUAUGUUUUUCUUUCCAAGACUUGCAUGUACACACACACUAGAAAUGGAACAAGUAGAAAUGACCACUGAUUUGCAAUAUAAAGACAUACAUUACUACCUUCAUUUGUCAACCAGCCUACUGUCCCCCUCCGUCCUCAUGGCUGGAGAAAUCAGGAGAAUAGCUGCUCUUAUUGAGAGAGACCAAGAGCUCAUCACUUACAUCAAGCACAAGUUUACUACCAUUGACUUCAAAAAAGAGCACAGCUACUUACCUGAGAAGGUUGUCACCCGCAGUGACACAAAGUAUGUCCUCAUACAAAAUGGCCAGGCCAAGAAGAACUAUGACAGGAGACAGGAGAUGCUCAAAAAAGGCUUUUUCUCCCCUCUUAACAAACCAUACAAAACAGUGGGAAUGCUUUACUCUGACAACGUUGAUCUCUUCUCAACCUGGUUAACAUCAGAGGAUCAGGAGUCACUGAAGACACACUGGGACAGGAAGUUUGGCAAAAAGUCAGGAGGUGGAGUGAUCUCCAGCAAAUUCUCUCAGGAGAAGGCUAAAAAGGAGAACGUCACAGCCCCUCCAAUGGAGAGCCCGACCCUGGAUGGCUUCCUCCAGCUGAAGCACUGCGUGAGGGAGAUGGCCUCCAUUAGACGUGCUCUCCACGCUGGGCGCCCCCUCAUAUGUUACCUCAGGGACCAGGAUAAACAGCCAUCGCUAAUGAUACCAUGUCACCGAGCCGUGUCAGCUGAUAAAGAGACUGUGCCACCAACCCCCAUGACCAUGAACCAACAGGCACUGGACCCAGAGGAAGAGGAGAACCUACAGAGGAUACAGUACAGGAAGCAGAAGCUGUUCUCAGAGAAACUGCAGUGGAUCUACAUGGUCCUGUGCGGCAUCUCUCACAUGAGAAACAAAGACCUGAAGACACUGGUUCCUCUCAACAGCAGCUAUGUGAACGUCAUCAUGAAGGACACAGAGAAGACCAACAUCAUUCUGAAGCAGUCACACAGCUACUACAACCCUCCAGUGAAUGCCACCGGACGUCUGGUGUCUCUGGCCCCCGAUGACUGUCACAGCGGCACCCCUGACGUGUGGGACACCUUCAUCGGUCACCAGGAUGCCGCAGAGCCCUCAAAGAUAACCACCAUCCGAACCACAGGAUAUAAAGCUCUGCAGUCUGGGCCCAGGCGUAAGGUUGGCCAGAGAGAGCCAGACGGCGAUGGAGACAUACCCCCAUGGCUACUACUGCUGCUGGAUGAGAACACAUCGCUAGAGAAGAAAACGGUCAAGCCUAGAGUAGACCAGUCAGUCAAGCUGGAGAGAGCCAAGGUCCAAUACCUGAAUGUGAAGAAGGUUUUAAACAUCCAGAUCAAGUCAGGAGUGUUUAAAAAGAAAAAGAACCGUGAGGGGAGGAUGAGAACUCUUUUCGAUGCUCUAAUGGCUUCCAAGACCGAUGCUGGUCUGUCUUCGCUCCUUGCCUCUCUGAAGAGUGAGCUGAAGGAGCCCAAAUCCACCACUGGUCUCUGGUUUGCAACACUGCAGAGUGAGGCCACAGAACUGUCCGGAGACAGAGACCCCAAAUAUAAGAGCACACUGCAGAAGAUCUCAGCGUUUCAAAGCUUCUCCAACAAAAGGGUCCCCUACUCCAAGGAGAAAUUCUGUCUCCUGGUCCUCUCCAUGCCAGCCAAUCAGCUGCUUCAACCAGCCAUGCAGGAAGCACUGCUCUUCCUCACCGAGAAAGUCCUGCUGCUGUUGCCGCGGCAACUCAAACAGUGGUACCAGUACCUGAAGCUGCCCUUCCCCACCACGGAAUCCUCCUCCUCCUAA